rnacentral:rRNA from 1 species
UACGAAGGGGGCUAGCGUUGUUCGGAAUUACUGGGCGUAAAGCGCACGUAGGCGGACAUUUAAGUCAGGGGUGAAAUCCCGGGGCUCAACCCCGGAACUGCCUUUGAUACUGGGUGUCUCGAGUCCGGAAGAGGUGAGUGGAAUUCCGAGUGUAGUGGUGAAAUGCGUAGAUAUCGGGAGGAACACCAGUGGCGAAGGCGGCUUCCUGGCCUGUUCUUGACGCUGAGGCGCAAAAGCUAGGGGAGCAAACGGG